rnacentral:lncRNA from 1 species
AAACCACAAGAUUAUAACAUCGCCAAAUCAUCUACAUAUAUAUCAUAGCAUAACACAAAGUGUUGCAUAUGAGAUCACAAAGUAUACCACACAGUCACAAAGUAUCACAAGUGUUCACUAACCUUCACAAGUAUCACAUUUAGCGGGGCAUGUACUACUCGAGGAGCUAGCCUCGACACACACAUGCUAAACUCCAACCAUGCUAUUGGAAAGGAAACAAAGCACAAUUAGUCGCUAUGUCGAGGAGAUGACAACACCACAUCAGGUUACAUGUAGCUCCAAUCAGCACUGCUGCUCCAUCCAUUCUUCAUGUGUCCACUGCAAUUAACCAAACAAGAAAGAGGUUCCGAUUUAUAAGAUUCAUCAUAUCAAAUAAUCUAGAAAAUUUGACACCAAGCAACUUGAGAAGCAACAUUAUUUGGAACCACAACAUACACCCAGAAAUACACCAAGCAACUUGCAGGAACACUCUUUUCUAAUUAUUAAUCCUUCAACGUGGUGACCUUCUCAACAUCACAAGUCGAUCUUCAAUCACAAAAGUCAAGCAUCUUCAAUCACAAAAUUCAAGCAUCGGCACCAUAGGAGCAAAUAAAUAUUUGGUGACAAUUAUAAUUCAAAAAAUGGUAGCGAUGUGUAAGUCACUGAAAUUUCAAAGGAAUAACCUGCCACAACUCAACGUUGAUGAACUUCAAGCCGUCAAACAGAGAUCAGUUGAAAAUACACACUACUCAUCGAAAGAACUAAUGUGCACAUAGUACUAGAACAAAUCAAAGAGGCGGGAGAUAAAAUAUCUUCAUUGCAGGUACCAUUUAAUUCAUAGGAUACCAUACAAUAAAUUUUCAAGUACUAGUUAGGAGUUUAGGUAAUAAACUUCUAAUAUGAUGACCAUCUAUCACAGAAAAUAAAAAUAUUUCAAAUGGAGUUGAUACUUACAGGUUAGAGGUUACAAAUGAUACUUAGAGGUUACAGGUUAUAUGUUGAUACUUAUGGGUUAAACAAGAUGGUUGUUUACAAUAAUUAAACAUCAAAAAAAUUAAGCAACAUCAGAAUAAUCAAACGGAGACUACCAACAGAUUGGUUUCUCGAGAUUACUAUGUAUAUUUCUAAGGUAUUAUCAUUAAAUAAAUAUAAGUUCACACGUCAAUACUGCAAUCACAAGCUAGUAGUAUCACAAAUUUAAACAUCCAUAGUCCAUGUUCGAUCAAACCGUACUACACUCUCUUUAUCGAUGAUUUUGAAGGCAUAUCAAGCUAUAAAAAUCACUAUGUGAAGUGAAAAAUGCAUAACACAACUUGUAUCGAUCGCAGCUGCAUGAGGUCUGAUUGUAUUCUCUAGAUGUUAUAGGAAAUUCAUGGCACGCAAGACUAAAAAACUGCAUUACCAUUACUAUUGUUGGUUUGUUGCUCUAGCAAGUAUUUUCCGAGCAUCGCGUGCAGAAAUAAAGCUCAAGCGGGGUAAUAAUCGUUUAAAAAGGCUGAAAGAAAAUCCACAAUUUUCUGAAGGGAAGCCCUUAUUCAUGUUUACCAGCUAAACUACCAAAAUACAAUAUAUUGUUUGUGGCAUGUAAUGGCACUUAACUAUACAAUGGUUAUGGAGAAUCAUAAUAUCCGAAAAUGUACACCUUCAUAGAACUCAAUGAAUAUUUGGAUAUUAUGCACUUGGAUAACAAUGAACUGCUAGCCAUAAAUCAUCUUAAGAAAAGUAUGUGCCAAAAAUGCAAAGCAAUUCCACUCACCUAUAUACAGUUGUCACUUCAAAUUGGAAUCAAGGAUAAUUUUUUCUAAACUUAGUUACCCAUAUGACAUAGAAAUCAAGACAAUUCUCUCUAAACCUGCAUGAAGUUCUUAACUAAAUAGACCAGCUAAAUAUCUAAAGGCGGGGAGGAGGAAUACAGUUGGGUGCCAGCAACCGAGGGGAUGGGUGACACACACGUAAAAAGGUGGCAAUGAGUGCCGGUGGCUAGUGAGGGCAUUGGACUGAUGUAUGUUACUUGGACUUAGAAUGUCCAUGUAUAGCUGAGAAUUUGAAGGAUGCAAAGAUGAAUGUCUGCAAAGAAGAUUAAAUUGCUUGUUGGACAUGAUAAAAAAAAUAUGAGAGCCAAAAAUACAUUAAACAAUAGUAAGAACGAGUAAAUUGUGCAGUGUCACAAUUGCGGCAAGACAAAUAGCAUUUGCAUACGAAGCAGAAAACUAUUUAAUGAGAAUACAAAAAAUACAAUCACACAGGUAGUAAUGUUAGUGGUGAAUUACAAAAUAAAAUGCUGUCGGUGCAUCAUACGAAUCUUUCAGGGGUCAUGACCAGCUCAUAUUAAAAUAGCACCGUUCAAAGUUGAUCAUGUUAAGUUGAAAGAGAUCACCUGAAUAUAAGUCCUAUGGUCUCAUAGAGUCCGUGUUGUGCAAAACAUCAUGAUGCAAUGAUAUAAUGGUUGAAAUUCUAAAAGGUAAACUUCUUUAUUUAUUUUUAGUAUUUAGCAUUAGAAGAAAAGAAACACUCGGUAUGGCAUAACGAAAAAAUGCAAUAGUAAAAAUAAUUCAUAUAGCUAUAUCUUGUAGAUGAACAGUUUUUAGAGAGGGAACAUCUAACCUGACGUCAUAAGUUAGCAUGUUGGUAGUUGCUACUCAGUUUACAAAUAGGAAAAUCCAACCUAAAUAUCCAGGAAUCACCACAUGAUUCAGGCUAUAGAUACUUAUAAUUUUUUUAAAUAGGAUUUUUAUUCCAUCAUGGCUGACACAUAUUGAAUAUUUAUAAAAGAAAUAACAAUAUGUGCAACGACAAGAAAGCAGGACAUACCUAUUUAAUCAAUUCAGGAGCUGUCCUCGACACGAGAUUAACCUCGGCACCGAGUUGAGUAGCACUUCGGUUUGGGAUGGAAAUGAUGUCAACAAAGGACCUUAUCUUGCAACAUAGAGAAAUAAAUUUUCAGUUAUUUGUUUAUGACAGUAAAGUGGCAAGAUCUAGCUAACUGUUUGAAUGUGACAUUCGUUGAUAUCAGAGAGAGAUAUAUUCAUUAAUAGCUAGACACAAUUAUACACAGGGACAUCAGGCAAGCGCAAGUACAUGAACUACACUAAUAGGUACAUACUUAACUACAUCAACAUUAGUUGGAAUCCAACUUGAAGAAGUAAGGAUAUCAAACUGAUAAGCACAAAGAUAUGAUAGAAUGAAGUAGUCUUCCAAGUACAACCUCAAACAACUCCCUUAACCUUUAUGCAAGUUCAUGUGAAAAUUUUGGAUAUAUAAAACCACCUAACUGAUAACCUUUAC